rnacentral:rRNA from 1 species
GACGAACGCUGGCGGCGUGCUUAACACAUGCAAGUCGAACGGAAAGGCCCUGCUUUUGUGGGGUGCUCGAGUGGCGAACGGGUGAGUAACACGUGAGUAACCUGCCCUUGACUUUGGGAUAACUUCAGGAAACUGGGGCUAAUACCGGAUAGGGGCUCCUGCUGCAUGGUGGGGGUUGGAAAGUUUCGGCGGUUGGGGAUGGACUCGCGGCUUAUCAGCUUGUUGGUGGGGUAGUGGCUUACCAAGGCUUUGACGGGUAGCCGGCCUGAGAGGGUGACCGGCCACAUUGGGACUGAGAUACGGCCCAGACUCCUACGGGAGGCAGCAGUGGGGAAUAUUGCACAAUGGGCGGAAGCCUGAUGCAGCAACGCCGCGUGCGGGAUGACGGCCUUCGGGUUGUAAACCGCUUUCGCCUGUGACGAAGCGUGAGUGAUGGUAAUGGGUAAAGAAGCACCGGCUAACUACGUG